AAGUAAGAAGCAAUUUUUGCAAUCAGUUUCGACCUGGAAGUCAGAUAUUAUAUAUUAUCCUUAUUUA
rnacentral:tRNA from 1 species